AUGAUCGGGAAUUUCGGGAACGCCGCAGAUGCGGCGGCUGAUCACGCGCGGGGAGUGGCAGUCGGAGCAGCAGGACACGAUGAAAACCGGAUCCUCCACCAACAACAACGAGGAGGAGAAAUCCCGGCUGCUGGAGAAGGAAAAUCGGGAAUUGGAGAAAAUCAUCGCCGAGAAGGAAGAACGCGUCUCCGAGCUCCGCCAGCAGCUCCAGGCCCGCCAACAACUCCAGCUCCGCUCCCGCCGCCGCCAUUCCCGCGACUCCCAGCGCGAUUCCCGCGACUCCCAGCGCGAUUCCCGCCAUUCCCAAGCCGAUUCCCGGGAUUCCUUCCCCCAGCCCAGCCUGGUUCGCUGCCUGGUGUCGGAACAGGCGGAAAAACUCGGACGCGGGAAUUGCGACGGGAGCCGCGUCCACCUGCUCUACAAGUGACGGGUUUCGGCGGGAAAAACGGGGGGGUUUUGGCGGGAAAACGGGAGUUUUGGCAGGAAAACGGGAGUUUUGGCGGGAAAAUAAGAGUUUUGGCGGGAAAAAAUUAA
ensembl:lncRNA